rnacentral:lncRNA from 1 species
UUAAACAAUUCUUCCAAAAUCAUUCUUCACAAUUGGAUUCAAGAAGUAUUCGAUAAGUUACAGGAAGUAAUAACAUACUAGUACAGAAAAGCUUUUUCAACCAAGUUUGGCCAAAACAUCAUUUAAGGUAGAUACAGUUUCAGCAUAGUACUUCUCUGCUUCAGGGCUGUUCUUGGUCUUUGCUGCAUGGUCCAGCUGAGGAAGGAAAAGAACAGAUUAUUAAAACGAAUACGAAAAUAUAAGCAACCCUUUGGAUUUCUAUGCACAUUAUUUCACUACUUUUGACAUUCAUGUACGUAACCAAGAAUAUAAUGUAGAGAUUUGACUUACAUCACUAAUGGUCUUGAAGAGCUUUCCAGUCAGGUCCUGGAGUUUUCCCUUCUCUUCUUUUGGCUUAGCAGAGAUUACGGUCUUAAGGUCAUAGCGAAGGUAUUCUGCUCUGAGACGAAGGUCAUU